UUUCAGAUCUACUCAGAGGAUUGCAGCCAAGGCAGUAUUGAGCAACCCAAUCACUGAGCUAUAGGAAGUUAGGAACAUAUAGUGAGCUAUCUCUCACAGUGGAAAGUGUGGGUUUUCUUGAAGCACCAUAAAUCCAGAGAAUCCCAGACUAUGAUGACAAAGUGUGAUGAGAAAAUUUGCCUACGAAGGAUCACUGCGCCACCUUCCUGUUCAAGAGAGCACAGUACAACAAGGGGCGGUGCUAGCAGGUCUAAGGAUCAGCAAACACGGAGAGCCAGGUUGCUCUCUUUCAUGGUCCUUCUGUCACCGGAUUUGUGACUUGCUAGCACCACUACGGCAGCCUCUUGGGGACACACGGUGUACCUGACAUACUGUACAGCCCACCUGCAGUCCAGGAAAGGACCGUACAAGUGAUCAGCGGACCUAUUGCAGGAUAUAUCACCUCCUCGGCCCAGAAACGUUGCUGAGUGCAUCCAGUGGAGGGACUGAGCUUGGACGUACCUCCUUUGCCACUUUGCUAGGGAUGUCUGCAACAAGAACUGCGCCCACACCUACGCAAGUGCCAUCCCACCGUGGUCCUGCAGCAUCGCCGCAACAUAGCAAGCACAGGACGUCUCCGGUCAGAUAUAUUGCCUACCAUUACCCCGUCUCCUCCCCAUUGUCACGUGGUGGACUGCAACAAGGGGACAUGUGGGAGCGGUGCUCUCCUGAGCUAUUACACCUGGCUUCCCAGUGCCUAGGACAAAACAGGGCGGCCCCAACGUUGGGGACGCCACUUGCAGCCCGCAGGGAGGUUCUGCUGCCUCCCAGGCUCUAUAUAGCAGAGCAGGAACCUCUUCCACCACACCCAGCACCACAGAUCCUUCUGUUUUACUGCUCACCUGUGGCCCAGAAACCUCCAGGAUGGCAGACAGUCCGGUCACAACCUAAGUCGACCCAAGCGAACCCCGGGACUAGAACCCAGCCCAGAUCGGUGCUCGAGCCAACACUUGAGACAGCACCCCCACCUAGCCAAGGGCCGCAGGCCCCAUUACUACGCCAGCAGCAGCCCGAACCCCGGCUGACCCAGCAGUCAUCGGCCCUCCAGUCCACCCGGCAGCCGCCAGCACUGGAGUCCUCAACGGCGCCAUCUAUCCCGCAGACACCAGUGCAGCAGUCCCCAGUGGACCGACCCGACCUGUCUGCUGCUACACCCAUCCAACCAACCAGCCCUGACCUGGGCCCUCCAGUCCACAGCUCACACCAUCUCCUGAGGCCCCAUCCUGUCCUAACCCAGUUGCCACUCUGGAUCCCAGUGUGACAGUCUGUGACACUAUUUUUGUCUUGUUGAUUAAAUAUUGUGGAUCAAAAUGUUUUUCCUCAUAAUCCUAGACUAUCGGACCACCAUUUUAUUAUAUCGCAACAAAUAAUCUGCUCAGACCCCAACGAAGGAUUAUCAAAAGACGUGCUAUAAAUUCUCGUGAAACCCAAAGAUUCCAAGGACGUUGGAGUACAAAAAUCAGUUAACCACUUAACCGAGGAUCUAAAUUUGACCUAAUACCAUAGACGCAGUCGUACCUCAAAACAAAAAGCAUUUGACACAAGAAAUUAGAUCCCUGGUAUACAGAAAAUACUCGAGCCCUGAAGCACGCUUCCCAAAAAAUUGGAAAGGAAAUGGCGCUCCACCAAACUGGAAAUGUUCCAAUUAGCUUGGAAAGACAGUACCAUGCAAUAUUGAAGCGCCCUCAAUGCUGUUUGGUCAGUCUAUUUUUCCAACCUAAUUGAAGAGAGUAAAAACAAUCCAAAAUAUAUUUUGAUACUGUCACAAAGCAAACUAAAAAGUGAGGAUGGCCUUCAUUUCAGCAGUGAUGAAUUCAUAAUUCACGUUUUUUAAAACCUGUAUCUCUCAAUACAUUCAGAAAAAUAGUCAUGGCCUCUAAACCUUCCAGCUGCCUAAUAGACCCUAUUCCAACUAAACUACUGAAAGAGCUGCUUCCUGUGCUUGGCCCUCCUAUGUUGAACAUAAUAAAUGACUCCCUAUCCUCCGGAUGUGUACCAACCUCACCAAAAGUGGCCGUAACAAAGCUGCUCCUGAGAAAGCCAAACCUUGACCCGGAAAAUUUUACGAACUAUCGGCCUAUAUAGAAUCUCUCAUUCCUCUCAGAUUAUUUCGAAAAAGCUGUUGCACAUGAACUCACUGCCUUCCUGAAGACAAAUAAUGUAUACAAAACGCUCCAGUCUGGUUUUGGACCCCAUCAUACGUACUGAGACUGCAUUCGUUAAGGUGGUAAACAACCUUUUAAUGGCGUCAGACCAAGGCUCUGCAUCUGUCCUUGUGUUCCUAGAAGUUAGAGCUGCUUUUGCGGUGCCAUGCUCUACUCUCUGGCUACCCGGAUAAAGCAUUAAAUAAACUUUAGUUAGUGCUAAACACGGCUGCUAGAAUCUUGACCAGAACCCCAAAAAAGUAUCAUAUUUGUCACACCCUGAUCUGUUUCACCUGUAUUUGUUCUUGUCUCCGCCCCCCUUCAGGUGCCAUCUUCCUCAUUAUCCCCAGUGUAUUUAUACUUGUGUUCUCUGUUUGUCUGUUGCCAGUUUGUCUUGUCUGGUCAGGUCUUACCAGCGUGUUUUCCCGUCUCCCUGCUGGUUCAUGUUCUGUUCCCUAGUUUCCCCAGUUCUGACCAUUCUGCCUGCCCUGACCCUGCCUGCUGUUCUGUACCUGCCUGACUCUGACCCGUUUACAAACAUCUGCCUGUUCUGAGCCUGCAUGCAUUUCUGUACCUUAUCGACUCUGCCCUGGCUUACAGACCUUUGCCUGCCUUUGACCUGUCUUUUGCCUGCCCCCUGUUUGGGUCAAUAAACAUCUGUGACUCUAGCUGUCUGCAUCUGGGUCUUAUCCUGAAUUCUGAUCAUAUUAUUCCAGUGCUAGCCGCUCUACACUGGCUUCCUGUUAAAGCUAGGGCUGAUUUCAAGGUUUUACUGUUAACCUACAAAGCAGUACAUGGACUUGCUCCUAAAAAUCUCUCCGAUUUGGUCCUGCCGUACAUACCUACACGUACGCUACAGUCACACCUGUCUUGGUGGGAAGUUAAUUUUGUUUAUGGCACAUAGCCUUUAGCUUUACGGUUUGUUUUGUAGUGUUUAUUGUUUUGUUCAGCGUCUUUUCUAAUAAAAAGAAAAUAUACGCUCACUA